rnacentral:rRNA from 1 species
GGGUGAGUAACACGUAUCCCACCUGCCGUCUACUCUUGGACAGCCUUCUGAAGGGAAGAUUAAUACAAGAUGGCAUCAUGAGUCCGCAUGUUCACAUGAUUAAGGGUAUUCCGGUAGACGAUGGGGAUGCGUUCCAUUAGAUAGUAGGCGGGGUAACGGCCCACCUAGUCUUCGAUGGAUAGGGGUUCUGAGAGGAAGGUCCCCCACAUUGGAACUGAGACACGGUCCAAACUCCUACGGGAGGCAGCAGUGAGGAAUAUUGGUCAAUGGGCGAGAGCCUGAACCAGCCAAGUAGCGUGAAGGAUGACUGCCCUAUGGGUUGUAAACUUCUUUUAUAAAGGAAUAAAGUCGGGUAUGCAUACCCGUUUGCAUGUACUUUAUGAAUAAGGAUCGGCUAACUCCGUGCCAGCAGCCGCGGUAAUACGGAGGAUCCGAGCGUUAUCCGGAUUUAUUGGGUUUAAAGGGAGCGUAGAUGGAUGUUUAAGUCAGUUGUGAAAGUUUGCGGCUCAACCGUAAAAUUGCGGUUGAUACUGGAUAUCUUGAGUGCAGUUGAGGCAGGCGGAAUUCGUGGUGUAGCGGUGAAAUGCUUAUAUAUCACGAAGAACUCCUAUUGCGAAGGCAGCCUGCUAAGCUGCAACUGACAUUGAGGCUCGAAAGUGUGGGUAUCAAACAGGAUUAGAUACCCUGGUAGUCCACACGGUAAACGAUGAAUACUCGCUGUUUGCGAUAUACGGCAAGCGGCCAAGCGAAAGCGUUAAGUAUUCCACCUGGGGAGUACGCCGGCAACGGUGAAACUCAAAGGAAUUGACGGGGGCCCGCACAAGCGGAGGAACAUGUGGUUUAAUUCGAUGAUACGCGAGGAACCUUACCCGGGCUUAAAUUGCAGAUGAAUUACGGUGAAAGCCGUAAGCCGCAAGGCAUCUGUGAAGGUGCUGCAUGGUUGUCGUCAGCUCGUGCCGUGAGGUGUCGGCUUAAGUGCCAUAACGAGCGCAACCCUUGUUGUCAGUUACUAACAGGUCAUGCUGAGGACUCUGACAAGACUGCCAUCGUAAGAUGUGAGGAAGGUGGGGAUGACGUCAAAUCAGCACGGCCCUUACGUCCGGGGCUACACACGUGUUACAAUGGGGGGUACAGAGGGCCGCUACCACGCGAGUGGAUGCCAAUCCCAAAAACCUCUCUCAGUUCGGACUGGAGUCUGCAACCCGACUCCACGAAGCUGGAUUCGCUAGUAAUCGCGCAUCAGCCACGGCGCGGUGAAUACGUUCCCGGGCCUUGUACACACCGCCCGUCAAGCCAUGGGAGCCGGGGGUACCUGAAGUGCGUAACCGCGAGGAGCGCCCUAGGGUAAAACUGGUGACU